UUUUAGUUAACUCUUCUCUUUUUUUCUGAUCCACCUUGUUCAAAUUCAUGCAACCUUGCCCACUCCCCCUCAAUUUCAGUCCAAAAUAUUCAAAAUGGUCGCCGCCUGGAUUGCUGGUGCUGAUGGAAUGGAAUUCUUAUCUCAGUGAUUUCGUAAUUGUUAUAUUUUUCUUGGAUUGUUCUAUGAUAGCACUAUUAGAGUAUCUGUCUGUCUGGUAUUUCAUUUUUACCAUAACACUUUGCGACCAACUUGAAAAAGAACUUGGAUGGCUGUAAAGUGUAAAGAAGAGUUUACUUCAUAUGUAUUUUUGGUCAAUAUUUUUUGGUCUUUAUUCUUAAGGUAAUAUCUUCAACUUAAGGUUUCGUGUGUCAUGGGUGCUUGUGACAAUAGAGAUGAAAUUGUCCAUUUCAAGCCGUGUCUUACAAAACUAAGGAAAUUCUAUUUGCAAGAAAACCUUUCUGACAAAACAUGGUUUUCCAGUCGUUGCUGGAUGGAUUGUUUUGAGGUUAGUUCCCAUGUCUAAAGACCAAUCCUAGCCUACACCUCACCAAGAGGAUUCUUUCGACAUAUGUGUGUUGAUCCUUUGUAUGCAGAGAGUUCAACCUACAGACGGGCCGGCAAGUUUGCAUGUCCUUCACGCUUGAAGGUCGCGGGAAACAUAACGAGUAUUACUGUCAAUGCGGUGUUGUAGAGUUUGGGUGAGAAUUAAUUGGAAG